CGGGGCCCGCACAAGCGUGGAGCAUGUGGUUUAAUUCGACGCAACGCGCAGAACCUUACCUAGACUUGACAUCCCGGGGAUUUUCUGGAAACAGAGAAGUGCUUUAGCAAUAAAGAACCCGGUGACAGGUGCUGCAUGGCUGUCGUCAGCUCGUGUCGUGAGAUGUUGGGUUAAGUCCCGCAACGAGCGCAACCCUCGCCUUUAGUUGCCAGCAUUCAGUUGGGCACUCUAGAGGGACUGCCGGUGUCAAACCGGAGGAAGGUGGGAUGACGUCAAGUCCUCAUGGCCUUUAUGUCUAGGGCUACACACGUACUACAAUGGCCGGUACAAAGGGCAGCCACUCAGCGAUGAGGCGCUAAUCCCAUAAAGCCGGUCUCAGUCCGGAUCGCAGUCUGCAACUCGACUGCGUGAAGUUGGAAUCGCUAGUAAUCGUAGAUCAGCAUGCUACGGUGAAUACGUUCCCGGGCCUU
rnacentral:rRNA from 1 species